rnacentral:rRNA from 1 species
AGGGUUCGAUUCUGGCUCAGGAUGAACGCUAGCGGCAGGCUUAACACAUGCAAGUCGAGGGGCAACGCGAGUAGCAAUACUUGGCGGCGACCGGCGCAAGGGUGCGUAACGCGUGAGCAACAUGCCCGUAUCAGGGGGGUAAUCCAGGGAAACUUGGUCUAAUACCCCAUAGUAAUUUUGUAAGGCAUCUUAUAAGAUUUAAAGCUUUGGUGGAUACGGAUUGGCUCGCGUGACAUUAGCUGGAUGGUAAGGUAACGGCUUACCAUGGCUAUGAUGUCUAGGGGUUCUGAGAGGAAGGUCCCCCACACUGGAACUGAGACACGGUCCAGACUCCUACGGGAGGCAGCAGUGAGGAAUAUUGGACAAUGGAUGGAAAUCUGAUCCAGCCAUGCCGCGUGAAAAGGAAGAAGGUCCUAUGGAUUGUAAACUUCUUUUGUAUGGGAGCAAUAAGGCCUACGAGUAGGUUGAUGAGAGUACCAUACGAAUAAGCACCGGCUAACUCCGUGCCAGCCGCCGC